CUAGAGGGCCAUGACUACAGGCAAUUUCACACUUGUGUUUUCCCAGGAGAUCCCAGGUUGCCCUCCAUCUCCCUGCUUGGGCUGCUUGAAAGGAUGAAAAUCAAUUCUUAUGGCACCUGGUUUAACCCAGUGUCCAUGAGCCAAUGGUCUGGUAAAGGAAUUCGCCUCCUUACCUGGGAAAACUGGGCAAAGCUCCGAUCGGAAAACAGCGGCACGUGUCCAAGAAGCUCAUGACAGAUGUCCCUGAGAAAAACAUGUAGCAGAGGAGUUUAGGAUAAAGCGUGUGCAUGAAUCCUCUGCACACAGUAAGCACUCAAUAAAUAAGAUUGAAUGAAUGAA